CUAAAGUGAUUUUGGAAUAUAAUAGAAAUUUGUACAGACAAGAUCCAACCUAACCUCAUUGCAACAUCGACAACAAUGUCAUUCAGAUACAAUGCUGCUGUCUCUCUUUUCAUACUUUCUAACCCUAAAUUCAUUCGUUCCUUCGUCUCAACAAGGCUAUAUUCUCAAAUAUUCCAUGAGCAAGAGAAGGACAAUCUCGUUACUUCAUUCAAUCACUUGCUGCUCCGUCACAAUCCUACCCCUUCUAUCAUUGAAUUUGGCAAGAUCUUAGGUUCACUUGUCAAGGCCAAACAUUACUCCAACGCUGUUUCUCUUCAUCGACAAUUGGAAUUGAAGACUGGAAUUCAAUCAAGCUUAGUCACUUUGAGCAUUUUGAUCAAUUGCUUUUCUCAAUUGGGUCAUAUCUCUCUUUCCUUUUCUGUUUUUGCAAACAUUCUCAAAAAGGGUUACCACCCAAAUGCCAUAACUCUCACUACACUCAUCAAGGGUCUCUGUCUCAAAGGCCACCUCCAUCAAGCAUUGCAAUUUCAUGACUACUUGGUAGCACAUGGAUAUCAUUUGAACCAAGUUAGUUAUGGAACCUUGAUAAAUGGUUUAUGCAAGGCAGGACAAGCAAGAGCUGCUCUACGGUUGCUGAGACGAGUGGAUGGAAAGAUGAUCCAGCCUAAUGUGGUAAUGUACACUACAAUUAUUGACAGCAUGUGCAAAGAUAAACUUGUUCACGAUGCAUGUGAUUUAUAUUCUGAAAUGGUUGCUAAGAGAAUUUCUCCUACUGUUGUCACUUACAAUGCUUUAAUUAGUGGAUUUUGUAUUCUUGGUAAAUUGAAAGUAGCAAUUGAUUUGUUACAUAAAAUGAUAUGGGAAAACUUAAACCCCAAUGUCUAUACCUUUAAUACAUUGGUUGAUGCAUUUUGUAAGGAAGGAAAAGUGAAAGAAGUUAAAAAUGUGCUAGCCGUGAUGAUGAAAAAUGGUGUAAAACCUGAUGUUGUUACGUAUGGAUCAUUAAUGGAUGGAUAUUGUUUAGUAAAUGAAGUGAACAGGGCUAAUAUUAUAUUUAAGACUAUGACCCAAAGGGGAAUUACUCCUGAUGUUUUUAGCUACAGUAUCUUGAUCAAAGGAUUUUGUAAGAUUAAAAUGGUAGACAAAGCUAUAAGUCUCUUCAAAGAAAUGCAUUGUAGAAAUAUCAUUCCUAAUACAAUAACUUAUAGUUCCCUUAUUGAUGGCUUGUGCAAAUUGGGGAGAAUCUCGUAUGCUUUGGAGCUUGUCGAUGAGAUGUGUGAUAGAGGUCAACUACCUGAUAUAAUUACGUACACUUCUAUAUUGGGUGCUUUAUGCAAAAACCAUCAAGUUGAUAAGGCAAUUGCAUUGUUAAGAAAAUUUAAAGAUACGGGUAUUCAACCAGACACAUACAUGUAUAAUAUUCUUAUCGAUGGAUUGUGUAAAGUUGGAAGACUAGAAGAUGCACAAGAGGUUUUUGAAGAUCUUUUGGCCAAAGGCUACAAACUUGAUGUCUAUACAUAUACCAUUAUGAUCCAAGGAUUUUGUAACAAAGGCUUGUUUGAUGAAGCAUUGACCAUGCUAUCAAAAAUGAAAGACAGGAGUUGCAUUCCAAACGCCAUAACUUACGAAAUAAUUAUCCGUUCCCUUUUUGAUAAAGACGAAAAUGAUACAGCGGAGAAUCUUCUUCGUGAAAUGAUUGCAAGAGGUCUAUUGUAAGAUUGAAACUACGUAAGAUAUUUGUCUUUGUUGUACAUUAUUAUUUUGAAUUUAUGUUUCAAUACUGUUUCAUCAUUUAAUGUUAUGUAGUUGCUUCACCUAAUGGAAAAAAAGGCUUUUGAUCCCUUAAAGGGGGUACAUGUUGAAGUGCACAUAAUUUUGAUUCGCAUUUGUAAAACAUGUUGAAUAUAAAUGGAGGAACCUCACUUCUUAAACAUGUUGAAGAAUAAGGUCGGAGGGAGUAUAGUUGGCAGUAGAUAUGUUCAGCAUAUUCAGAGGCUUCUAGAAUUGGAUUGAGAGAAGUUUUUAAUGGAGCAAAAGUAACGCUUCUGUCUCAAUAUGCCUUUUAUGGAGUUAUUUGUACGCUGGAGUUAGAAAGUUUUUUUUUUUUUUUUCCAUUUUUUGCACUUGCUUUUGUAUGGUGUUUUUUGUACGCUGGAAUUAUUAAUGAUUGUUGUAAUGUGGUUUGUCGAUAUGAUUUUUAUUACAUGAACUGGAUUAUCCCCUUGGUUUGGAUCAUAAGCUUGUUGGUCGAAGACUUGAAUCUAUCCAUUUCAUCCCAACCUUGGUAUAUGAAAGAAUGUUCACAAGAAAGGUAAGAUGAGAAUGACUUAAGUUGUUUUUGUGGCUACAUUACUUUACUUUCUAAUGAGUAACUAAGGCCUCAUUACAGCUGCAAAAUCUACUCAAAUAUGCAUUAAAGACAAGUAUUGAGAACUGGAUCGGUCUGCAAAUUGUUUGGUCCCUACGCUUAGAAUUUAGAACUUGAAUGCUAUGUAGGAAGCAUGAUUCUAUUUUCUACAUAAUUGCUUUUGCUGCAGUUUUGGAUGAGAUGUCUUAAAUUUUGGUAUAUGCUUGGAAAUAAAGUUUUGUAAGAUUUUAGGAUAAAUUGACUCUGCAUUUACUCACAUGUAGUUGCAGAUAGAAUCAUUUCGUAAAGCUCUAGGACUCUAUAUGUCUUUUGCUGAUCAGGCAAGCACAACUUACCUAUCCAUAUACUUGGUGUUCAAAUGUGAUACUUCAUGAGUUUCAUAACUUCUAUUGUUGUUGAAUAUCUCACUUCAUGUUAUGAUAGAACAAGGAUUGCUUUACGGUAGGCAAGUGCCAAGUAUAGUGGGGAGGUUUCAGCAUGCUUGUUCUUAAUGCUGCUAAGUAUAGUUGGGAGGUUUCAGCAUGCUUGUUCUUAAUGCUUAUCGCCAAAUCCUAUUGACAUAUGUACUAUAUUGUGCUGUGAUUAGAAACUAAACAAUAUAGAUUGUCCAAACUAAUUUUAUGAUCGUAAAUAAGUUUAUGAUCGUAAAUAAGUUUCAAGGAUCACUUUGAUUUGUACUAGUAUUCAAUUUUAAGACCAAUUUGAAUUAUUUGCCUACAUAAGGUGAUGUCUAGAAUAAAUGACCACCAAUUAAUAACUUUAUGGGUGUUUGUCAAUUUCCGAGUAACUAUAACAUUGUUUAUGACUUGAUAGUUUUGUUGAUCUUCACUUUGAUGUAGUGUCUUUUAUUUUGUUCUAUUUUAUAUUAUUUUAAAGUGAAAAUGGAAACAUGUUUGUCUUAUUGUGCUUGAAUUAUUUUUUCACCUGUUUAUUAGAGGUAGGUAACUAUUGAUUCUUUUUUCAUUACUUCAUAAAUCAUGUGAUAAUAAGAGUGUCAACAUCUGGAAGCAGUUCUACACAUUCUACGGCAGCCUAUCCUGCAGAAAGUGUAAUUGUAUGUGCAUGAAUGUUAAGGAUGGGAAUGUAAAAUAAUCAUUCAUCUCAGAAUGACACAACUAUAUAUGGAGGACAAGGGCAUCGGAGUACAUGCUCUAGAAUCGGUGAAUCCAAACUUAUAUUCAAUAGGACAAGGGCAUCGGAGUACAUGUUCUAGAAUCGGUGAAUUCAAACUUAUAUUCAAUGAAUUUUCACGUUCAACAAAUCAUCUCCUGCAACACUCUCUAAUACCAUUUGAGUAACUAGAUUUUGGGGCUUCAACUCAUCCUAAAAUCUUACAAAACUUUAUUUCCAAGUUCAUACAUUUUCUAUAAACAAUUUAUUACCAAAACAAGCAAUUAUGUAGAAAAUAGAACUGUGUUCCCUACAAAGCAUUCAUGUUCUAAACUCUAACCUUUGUUCCUAGUUCGCAAUACUUUUCUUUAACACAUAUUUGAGUAGACUGUGCACCUGUAAUGCAACCUAAGUAACUCAUCUCACAGUAGCUUAAUUUAGCCACAAGAACACAUAAAGUCAUUCUUUUCUUACUUCACUCAAGUGUCUAGCUUAUACCUGUACCUUAGCAACUUAGCCUUAAGUUUAACUAACAUUCUGAAACUGUUAAGCUUCGCAAGAUCAAAAUACUAUGCAGAAGAACAAGUAUAACUUAGAUAUAAUAAAUGAAAAGAUAUCUGUUCUGUCUCGAUUCAAUUUAGUAGCCCUAAGACCAAAU